rnacentral:misc_RNA from 1 species
GUGAAUCAUCGAAUUUUUGAACGCAAAUUGCGCUUCCUAGUAUCCCGGGAAGUAUGCCUGUUUGAGGGUCAGUAUUAACAAAAAAAUCGGAGUUGUUGCAAAUUGUGACGUGUCUGGAGUUUGGGCUAUCUUAACUGUUUUGGUUAAGGGGGUUAAAAUUGAACUUUUUUGCGCAUUUUUAGACGUAGAUAAAUUUUUUUUUUAUUAGUGUAUUCGUAAUGU